CAGCUCUCCGAGUGGUAGGGAUGAUUAUUGGGCUUAAAGCGUCCGUAGCCGGCUUAGCAAGUUUCCUGUUAAACCCAGCGACUCAAUCGUUGGAUCGCGGGAAAUACUACUAGGCUAGGAGGCGGGAGAGGUCAACGGUACUUCUGGGGUAGGGGUGAAAUCCUAUAAUCCCGGGAGGACCACCAGUGGCGAAGGCUGUCGACUAGAACGCGCUCGACGGUGAGGGACGAAAGCUGGGGGAGCGAACCGGAUUAGAUACCCGCGUAGUCC
rnacentral:rRNA from 1 species